GUGCCAGCAGGCCGCGGUAAUACGGAGGGUGCAAGCGUUAAUCGGAAUUACUGGGCGUAAAGCGCACGCAGGCGGCUUUUUAAGUCGGAUGUGAAAGCCCCGGGCUCAACCUGGGAAUUGCAUCUGAUACUGGGAGGCUAGAGUAUGUGAGAGGGGGGUAGAAUUCCAAGUGUAGCGGUGAAAUGCGUAGAGAUUUGGAGGAAUACCAGUGGCGAAGGCGGCCCCCUGGCACAAUACUGACGCUCAGGUGCGAAAGCGUGGGGAGCAAACAGGAUUAGAUACCCUGGUAGUCCACGCCGUAAACGAUGUCUACUAGAUGUUCGUGGUCUUGUACUGUGAGUAUCGCAGCUAACGCAUUAAGUAGACCGCCUGGGGAGUACGGUCGCCCCAUUAAAACUCAAAUGAAUUGACGGGGGCCCGCACAAGCGGUGGAGCAUGUGGUUUAAUUCGACGCAACGCGAAGAACCUUACCUACUCUUGACAUCUACAGAAGAACGCAGAGAUGUGUUUGUGCCUUCGGGAACUGUAAGACAGGUG
rnacentral:rRNA from 1 species